UACGAGGGGGCGAGCGUUGUUCGGAAUUACUGGGCGUAAAGGGCUCGUAGGUGGCCAACUAAGUCAGACGUGAAAUCCCUCGGCUUAACCGGGGAACUGCGUCUGAUACUGGAUGGCUUGAGGUUGGGAGAGGGAUGCGGAAUUCCAGGUGUAGCGGUGAAAUGCGUAGAUAUCUGGAGGAACACCGGUGGCGAAGGCGGCAUCCUGGACCAAUUCUGACGCUGAGGAGCGAAAGCCAGGGGAGCAAACGGG
rnacentral:rRNA from 1 species